rnacentral:rRNA from 1 species
GACGAACGCUGGCGGCGUGCUUAACACAUGCAAGUCGAACGGAAAGGCCCUGCUUUUGUGGGGUGCUCGAGUGGCGAAUGGGUGAGUAACACGUGAGUAACCUGCCCUUGACUUUGGGAUAACUUCAGGAAACUGGGGCUAAUACCGGAUAGGAGCUCCUGCUGCAUGGUGGGGGUUGGAAAGUUUCGGCGGUUGGGGAUGGACUCGCGGCUUAUCAGCUUGUUGGUGGGGUAGUGGCUUACCAAGGCUUUGACGGGUAGCCGGCCUGAGAGGGUGACCGGCCACAUUGGGACUGAGAUACGGCCCAGACUCCUACGGGAGGCAGCAGUGGGGAAUAUUGCACAAUGGGCGGAAGCCUGAUGCAGCAACGCCGCGUGCGGGAUGACGGCCUUCGGGUUGUAAGCCGCUUUCGCCUGUGACGAAGCGUGAGUGACGGUAAUGGGUAAAGAAGCACCGGCUAACUACGUG